UACAGAGGUCCCAAGCGUUUGUUCGGAUUCACUGGGCGUAAAGGGUGCGUAGGUGGUCGGGUAAGUCUGAUGUGAAAUCUCCGAGCUUAACUCGGAAAUGGCAUUGGAUACUAUUCGGCUGGAGGUUUGGAGGGGGGACUGGAAUUCUCGGUGUAGCAGUGAAAUGCGUAGAUAUCGAGAGGAACACCAGUGGCGAAGGCGAGUCCCUGGACAACACCUGACACUGAGGCACGAAAGCUAGGGGAGCAAACAGG
rnacentral:rRNA from 1 species